rnacentral:misc_RNA from 1 species
GAUGAAGAACGUAGCGAAAUGCGAUAAGUAAUGCGAAUUGCAGAAUCCGUGAGUCAUCGAAUCUUUGAACGCACAUUGCGCCCUUUGGUAUUCCGAAGGGCAUGCCUGUUCGAGCGUCAUUAUCACCCCUCAAGCCCCGGCUUGGUGUUGGGCUCUCGGUGGUCGUCUCCGACCACCCGUCUCAAAGAUAGUGACGGCGUCCCAGAGGGAACCGGUACGAGGAGCUUUCACGAGCAUGUACGCGGGACGACUCUGCGGGCGACGGUCUUAUUUACUUUAUAUACAAGUGUUGACCUCGGAUCAGGUAGGAAUACCCGCUGAACUUAAGCAUAUCAAUAACGGAGGA